UUAAAUUGAAGAGUUUGAUCAUGGCUCAGAUUGAACGCUGGCGGCAGGCCUAACACAUGCAAGUCGAGCGGUAGCACAGAGAGCUUGCUCUCGGGUGACGAGCGGCGGACGGGUGAGUAAUGUCUGGGAAACUGCCUGAUGGAGGGGGAUAACUACUGGAAACGGUAGCUAAUACCGCAUAACGUCGCAAGACCAAAGUGGGGGACCUUCGGGCCUCAUGCCAUCAGAUGUGCCCAGAUGGGAUUAGCUAGUAGGUGAGGUAACGGCUCACCUAGGCGACGAUCCCUAGCUGGUCUGAGAGGAUGACCAGCCACACUGGAACUGAGACACGGUCCAGACUCCUACGGGAGGCAGCAGUGGGGAAUAUUGCACAAUGGGCGCAAGCCUGAUGCAGCCAUGCCGCGUGUGUGAAGAAGGCCUUCGGGUUGUAAAGCACUUUCAGCGGGGAGGAAGGCGUUAAGGUUAAUAACCUUGGCGAUUGACGUUACCCGCAGAAGAAGCACCGGCUAACUCCGUGCCAGCAGCCGCGGUAAUACGGAGGGUGCAAGCGUUAAUCGGAAUUACUGGGCGUAAAGCGCACGCAGGCGGUCUGUCAAGUCGGAUGUGAAAUCCCCGGGCUCAACCUG
rnacentral:rRNA from 1 species